CCAGUGCCAACAAGAAUUUCUUUUCAUCUUCUCUCCUACUUAUUGGGCGUACUAGGCUUCUAGAAAAUUAGUAGAUACCUAAGUGAAUAUGUCUUUGGUGAUUUUAUUACUCAUCUCUUUCUGAUUAAUCAUUCUAGAAAGUACCUUUCUUACUCCCAGCAAUCAUUUAGGCUGCUUUUUCAGGAGCCACAGCUCUUUCCAGAAACAUUUGACUCACCACACUGAUGUAUUUCAGGCAACCAUCUACGCCGGUCACUUAUCUCUGGCUUUUCCAGUAAUUGCCCUGAUAAUUUUAGUUACUUUUUCAACAGUAAAUUCAACCCUACAUGAUAUCCUAGAGUCACUUCUCCCUAAAUUAAAAAAACAUAUUCCGAUGGGCUGUAAGGACACUUUUUUGGAUACAUCAACAACAGUCUGUUAGAAAGAAUAAGACCUUUUACGGCGAAUGUCACUAUUCCAGCAACUCAUUUCAGAUGACUGGCAAUUAUUCUGGUGAGUUCUAGUACAGUGCAAGGUGGCAUGUAAUCCUAACAUUGUUUUUGAUGAGCAGAAUUUAUUCAUAGAAACAGCAACAAUCAAGCACUAAACAUGUAACGGAAGUUUGACUCAACUCCUAUCCAAGAUACAAGGAGUUUAUAUGAAGUCCCAAAGUGUUAUGAAGAUAAUUUUUACUGGGAAAUAUUCUAAAGGUUCAUACUAUAGUCUAGAGAACUAUUAAUUACUCUGUCAAAAUUGAAAUCCCCAACGAUUAUGGUUCUUUAGUCCAUAGAAACUCCUAAGGGUCUUAGUGUUUUUCUAACAAUAAAAGCUUAGUUAGAGUUACUUACUAUGUCCUCUUUAUACAACAUACAUGGAUUAUGGUGUACUUUUGUGUAUACGACUUUGUGAAAAGGAUAUAAAAGAUGUUAACACCUAUGAUCAAGGGGAAUAGAAUUUUGGAAACAGACGUUCUACCUCUGGGCUUUGAGGUAGAGGUCGGGGCUGUGUACACUUUACCCUCCCCAGAUCCCACUUCGCGCGACUACAUUGGAUAUACUGCUGUUGUUAUUGGAAUGUCGGUCAUAGGGUGGAGAGUCUUAUAAUAAGAGGGCUAGUGACUAGUCAAGUCAAAGACUUA
rnacentral:misc_RNA from 1 species